rnacentral:rRNA from 1 species
GCACUCCCGGGGCGUCUCUAUCUCAUUGCGAGAGGAGGCGCACCUAGAGCGUACACGCUGAUACCCGAAAGAUGGUGAACUAUGCCUGGCCAGGACGAAGUCAGGGGAAACCCUGAUGGAGGUCCGCAGCGAUUCUGACGUGCAAAUCGAUCGUCGGAGCUGGGUUUAGGGGCGAAAGACCAAUCGAACCAUCUAGUAGCUGGUUCCCUCCGAAGUUUCCCUCAGGAUAGCUUGCGCUCAAGUGGAACGAGUCUCAUCCGGUAGAGCGAAUGAUUAGAGGCCUUGGGGUCGAAACGACCUCAACCUAUUCUCAAACUCCAAAUAGAUGAGAACCCCGGCUUUCUUGAAACAAUUGUUUUUUGAAGCCGUGGGAUUCGGAUCAGAGUGCCAAGUGGGCCAAUUUUGGUAAGCAGAACUGGCGCUGUGGGAUGAACCAAACGUUGAGUUAAGGCGCCUCAAUCGACGCUCAUGUGAAACCAUGAAAGGCGUUGGUUGCUUAAGACAGCAG